UGCAUGAUGUGUCAUUGAUGCGUCCUAACUCUGUGUUCAGUGACAGUUGCCUGCUGUCUUCAUUGCUGGCACAGAAGGUUGAUUUGAAAAAAAAAUAAUGAGCA